AUAGUAAUUAAUGCAUAUAUAUGUUGCGCCUUAUGGCAGUUAUAUAUGCGUUAUAAUGAAAUUUUAUAACAUUAUUUUAUUAUGGUGUGAGUGUUGGAGUGAGAACGCAGAAGCGUUGGAGCAGGAGAUCCUUUCCGUAUACGGCUGGACUUUUACUGACUUCACUUUGGUUGAAUGUAUAGGGUUUCGGUUUUUCUUGUUUUGAUAUCUACUUGAAUCCAGCCAGAAACCAGUUGAAUUAGGAUUACGAUUUUACUUGAUUUUGAUUUGAUUUCAAUUUAAAAUCUUGUUGAAUAGAGAGAGAUGUCGGAUGAGGAACGGACGCGCAUCGCCAUCGCCUCCGACAAGGAUACAACCCAUCGUUAUGGCCCUAAGUCCUUUAAAUUGCUUAGAUUACCUGUGCCAAGUUUUGGGACUCGUGGGAAAAAAACGGCAUUGGAAAAUCUACUGCUAUUCAACUUUUGUCUGGGUUGAUCAAACCUACUUGGGACGCUUUGAUGAUCCUCCUGGAUGGAAAGACAUUUUUUUAUUUUUUUUUCAAGGAUCUGAGUUGGACGAGCUGCACAAUUACUUCAACAGUUU